rnacentral:rRNA from 1 species
AAACUAACAAGGAUUCCCUCAGUAACGGCGAGUGAACAGGGAAGAGCCCAGCACUGAAUCCCGCAGUCUUGCAUUGUUGGGAAAUGUAGUGUUUAAGUAGAUUAACUUGUCUGUUGUCGGCUUCCAAGUCCACUUGAGUGUGGCGGUAUUGCCGUAGAGGGUGUAAGCCCCGUAUGAAGUUGAUGGCAGAUAACUAUGUCUACUUUGGAGUCGGGUUGCUUGGGAAUGCAGCCCAAAAAUGG